rnacentral:rRNA from 1 species
AACUCGACUGCAUGAAGUCGGAAUCGCUAGUAAUCGCGGAUCAGCAUGCCGCGGUGAAUACGUUCCCGGGCCUUGUACACACCGCCCGUCACACCAUGAGAGUCGGGAACACCCGAAGUCCGUAGCCUAACCGCAAGGGGGCGCGGCCGAAGGUGGGUUCGAUAAUUGGGGUGAAGUCGUAACAAGGUAUC